GCCCGCCUAGCUCAAUUGGAUAGAGCGUCAGACUCUUAUAGUGAAAUAGGCUCCAAGAACUUACAGUAAUCUGAAGGCUGCGAGUUCGACCCUCGCGGUGGGCU
rfam:Moniliophthora roreri strain MCA 2952 kmer90.90433, whole genome shotgun sequence.